rnacentral:misc_RNA from 1 species
GAUGAAGAACGUAGCGAAAUGCGAUAACUAAUGUGAAUUGCAGAAUUCAGUGAAUCAUCGAGUCUUUGAACGCACAUUGCGCCCGCCAGUAUUCUGGCGGGCAUGCCUGUUCGAGCGUCAUUUCAACCAUCAAGCCCCCGGCUUGUGUUGGGGACCUGCGGCUGCCGCAGGCCCUGAAAACCAGUGGCGGGCUCGCUAGUCACUCCGAGCGUAGUAAUACAUCUCGCUCAGGGCGUGCUGCGGGUUCCGGCCGUUAAAAAGCCUUAUUUACCCAAGGUUGACCUCGGAUCAGGUAGGAAGACCCGCUGAACUUAAGCAUAUCAAUAAGCGGAGGA